CAGUCGCCGCGGGAAUACGUAGGUCCCGAGCGUUGUCCGGAUUUAUUGGGCGUAAAGGGAGCGCAGGCGGUCAGGAAAGUCUGGAGUAAAAGGCUAUGGCUCAACCAUAGUGUGCUCUGGAAACUGUCUGACUUGAGUGCAGAAGGGGAGAGUGGAAUUCCAUGUGUAGCGGUGAAAUGCGUAGAUAUAUGGAGGAACACCAGUGGCGAAAGCGGCUCUCUGGUCUGUCACUGACGCUGAGGCUCGAAAGCGUGGGUAGCGAACAGGAUUAGAUACCCCUGUAGUCCCUGUCUCUUAUACA
rnacentral:rRNA from 1 species